rnacentral:rRNA from 1 species
AAUGUUCAUCCCUUGACAGUAUCUAACCAGAAAGCCACGGCUAACUACGUGCCAGCAGCCGCGGUAAUACGUAGGUGGCAAGCGUUGUCCGGAUUUAUUGGGCGUAAAGCGAGCGCAGGUGGUUUCUUAAGUCUGAUGUAAAAGGCAGUGGCUCAACCAUUGUGUGCAUUGGAAACUGGGAGACUUGAGUGCAGGAGAGGAGAGUGGAAUUCCAUGUGUAGCGGUGAAAUGCGUAGAUAUAUGGAGGAACACCGGAGGCGAAAGCGGCUCUCUGGCCUGUAACUGACACUGAGGCUCGAAAGCGUGGGGAGCAAACAGGAUUAGAUACCCUGGUAGUCCACGCCGUAAACGAUGAGUGCUAAGUGUUGGAGGGUUUCCGCCCUUCAGUGCUGCAGCAAACGCAUUAAGCACUCCGCCUGGGGAGUACGACCGCAAGGUUG